rnacentral:rRNA from 1 species
UACGAAGGUCCCAAGCGUUGUUCGGAAUCACUGGGCGUAAAGAGUAUGUAGGCGGUACGGUAAGUCAGAUGUGAAAUCUCCAGGCUCAACCUGGAAACUGCAUCCGAUACUACCAUACUAGAGUAAUGGAGGGGUGACUGGAAUUCUCGGUGUAGCAGUGAAAUGCGUAGAUAUCGAGAGGAACACUCGUGGCGAAGGCGAGUCACUGGACAUUUACUGACGCUGAGAUACGAAGGCCAGGGUAGCGAAAGGG